AAGCACUUCAGUACGUAUCAAUCGUUGAAAACUGUAGAUAGACUUAUAUAUUUUUAUAUUCGCUACGCCCUGUCAUUGAUUUAGCCAUUAAAACAUUCUAGAAAUACCUUACGUAAACUUUGACAGUAAUUAAACAUUCAAGUUGCAAAAAUUAUUUCUUAAUAAGGUACGAAACUCACCCCAGUUCCUAUUGUAAACAACACGGACUCAAAGUUCAAAUAAUAAGUAGAGCCUCGACAUUAUUAUAACGAACUGUAAUUCAGCUACCUUAUUUGCCUUUGGCGC